rnacentral:misc_RNA from 1 species
AGCAGCCGCGGUAAUUCCAGCUCCAAUAGCGUAUAUUAAAGUUGUUGCAGUUAAAAGCUCGUAGUUGAACUUCGGGGUCUACCCAUUGGUCAGGCUUAAUUGUCUGCACUGGUGGGAUGGAUCUCUACCUUCUGAGGAACUUUCAUGCCAUUUAUUUGGUGUGAUGGGAAAUCAGGACUGUUACUUUGAAAAAUUGAGUGUUUAAAGCAGACUAUCGUCUGAAUACAUUAGCAUGGAAUAAUGAAAUAGGACGGACUGAUUCUAUUUCGUUGGUUUCUAGGAUCACCGUAAUGAUUAAUAGGGAUAGUUGGGGGCAUUAGUAUUCAAUUGUCAGAGGUGAAAUUCUUGGAUUUAUUGAAGACUAACUACUGCGAAAGCAUUUGCCAAGGAUGUUUUCAUUAAUCAAGAACGAAAGUUAGGGGAUCGAAGACGAUCAGAUACCGUCGUAGUCUUAACCAUAAACUAUG